rnacentral:rRNA from 1 species
GACGAAUGCUGGCGGCGUGCUUAACACAUGCAAGUCGAGCGAUUCUCUUCGGAGAAGAGCGGCGGACGGGUGAGUAACGCGUGGGUAACCUGCCCUGUACACACGGAUAACAUACCGAAAGGUAUGCUAAUACGGGAUAAUAUGCUUUAGUCGCAUGGCUAAAGUAUCAAAGCUCCGGCGGUACAGGAUGGACCCGCGUCUGAUUAGCUAGUUGGUAAGGUAACGGCUUACCAAGGCGACGAUCAGUAGCCGACCUGAUAGGGUGAUCGGCCACAUUGGAACUGAGACACGGUCCAAACUCCGACGGGAGGCAGCAGUGGGGAAUAUUGCACAAUGGGCGAAAGCCUGAUGCAGCAACGCCGCGUGAGCGAUGAAGGCCUUCGGGUCGUAAAGCUCUGACCUCAAGGAAGAUAAUGACGGUACUUGAGGAGGAAGCCCCGGCUAACUACGUGCCAGCCGCCGCAGUAA